rnacentral:lncRNA from 1 species
GUAUGUAUGUGUCGUGGGUUUGAAAGGGGAUUUAGGGUUCUCACCUAAAUCCAUCAUCAACACAAGAAUUCUGCAUAAAUUGGGGUGAUUUGAGCUGGAAAUCGAGUGCAUGAGACAUCAUCUACACUUGUCUAGGUGUCCUUGAGAUAAGGUGAAAAUGAUGAGUGUGAUGAUCUUGAUAAGAAUUUGGAACGUGUCAAGGAGAGCUCAAGCAUAGGAGGAUAACGGGUCAAAAUAAGGCAAGGUGACAAAUACACUUAUUGGAGUACUCAAGGUAAGUGAUUUCCGGAAUCACUUCUUAUCUUAUAAAUAAAGUUUUGAUAUGUUAAACGUAGGAAAUCAUGUGAGAAAUUAUGAGAAGGAGUAAGUACUAAGGUAUGUAUUAAUGAGGUAAGUCGUAAGAAGUUAUUUGUGCUUGGAAUUACAU